GAUGGACGCUGGCGGCGUACCUAAUACAUGCAAGUCGAGCGAACGGACGAGAAGCUUGCUUCUCUGAUGUUAGCGGCGGACGGGUGAGUAACACGUGGAUAACCUACCUAUAAGACUGGGAUAACUUCGGGAAACCGGAGCUAAUACCGGAUAAUAUUUUGAACCGCAUGGUUCAAAAGUGAAAGACGGUCUUGCUGUCACUUAUAGAUGGAUCCGCGCUGCAUUAGCUAGUUGGUAAGGUAACGGCUUACCAAGGCAACGAUGCAUAGCCGACCUGAGAGGGUGAUCGGCCACACUGGAACUGAGACACGGUCCAGACUCCUACGGGAGGCAGCAGUAGGGAAUCUUCCGCAAUGGGCGAAAGCCUGACGGAGCAACGCCGCGUGAGUGAUGAAGGUCUUCGGAUCGUAAAACUCUGUUAUUAGGGAAGAACAUAUGUGUAAGUAACUGUGCACAUCUUGACGGUACCUAAUCAGAAAGCCACGGCUAACUACGUG
rnacentral:rRNA from 1 species